rnacentral:rRNA from 1 species
GAUGAACGCUGGCGGCGUGCCUAAUACAUGCAAGUCGAGCGAACGGACGAGGAGCUUGCUUCUCUGAUGUUAGCGGCGGACGGGUGAGUAACACGUGGAUAACCUACCUAUAAGACUGGGAUAACUUCGGGAAACCGGAGCUAAUACCGGAUAAUAUUUUGAACCGCAUGGUUCAAAAGUGAAAUACGGUCUUGCUGUCACUUCUAGAUGGAUCCGCGCUGCAUUAGCUAGUUGGUAAGGUAACGGCUUACCAAGGCAACGAUGCAUAGCCGACCUGAGAGGGUGAUCGGCCACACUGGAACUGAGACAGGGUCCAGACUCCUACGGGAGGCAGCAGUAGGGAAUCUGCCGCAAUGGGCGAGAGCAUGACGGAGCAACGCCGCGUGAGUGAUGAAGGUCUUCGGAUCGUAAAACUCUGUUAUUAGGGAAGAACAUAUGUGUAAGUAACUGUGCACUUCUUGACGGUACCUAAUCAGAAAGCCACGGCUAACUACGUG